rnacentral:rRNA from 1 species
CCUACGGGAGGCAGCAGUGGGGAAUAUUGGGCAAUGGGCGAAAGCCUGACCCAGCAACGCCGCGUGAAGGAAGAAGGCCUUCGGGUUGUAAACUUCUUUUAUGAGGGACGAAGGAAGUGACGGUACCUCAUGAAUAAGCCACGGCUAACUACGUGCCAGCAGCCGCGGUAAU